CAGAGAUGGUGUGUCCCACAAAGACGAUACAUCCCCACAAAGACGAUGCGUCCAACGGAGAUGACAUCCCCACAAAUGUAUCCACACAAAGACACCGUGUCCCUGUGCCACCAAGGCGUCCCCGCCCCGUUUACCUGUGGCCUCCACCAUGCCCUCGAGGAUGACGACGAUCUCGAAGUCGUCCCUCUCCAGCUGCCCCCGUGACACGUCCCAGAAGGGGCUGCGCUCG